rnacentral:rRNA from 1 species
AUUGAACGCUGGCGGCAUGCCUUACACAUGCAAGUCGAACGGUAACGGGCCUUCGGGUGCCGACGAGUGGCGAACGGGUGAGUAAAGCAUCGGAACGUACCUUUCAGUGGGGGAUAACGUAGCGAAAGUUACGCUAAUACCGCAUAUUCUGUGGGCAGGAAAGCAGGGGAUCGCAAGACCUUGCGCUGAUUGAGCGGCCGAUGUCAGAUUAGCUAGUUGGUGAGGUAAAGGCUCACCAAGGCGACGAUCUGUAGCGGGUCUGAGGGGAUGAUCCGCCACACUGGAACUGAGACACGGUCCAGACUCCUACGGGAGGCAGCAGUGGGGAAUUUUGGACAAUGGGGGCAACCCUGAUCCAGCCAUGCCGCGUGAGUGAAGAAGGCCUUCGGGUUGUAAAGCUCUUUCGGUCGGGAAGAAAUCGCAUGGGUUAAUACCCUGUGCGGAUGACGGUACCGGCAUAAGAAGCACCGGCUAACUACGUGCCAGCCGCCGCCGUAA